UAAUGAAAUACACCGGCUGCUCACCGCUACACUCAUUAACCCUUCCUCUGGGAGGAAGGCGUGUUCGGGUACUUGGUGCCCAUUUUUUUCCUCCUGAUGCUGGUGCUUGCUACGGUUUUGUUUAGGCCCCUGACAGGUUCCUUGUGUUGCAGUUUUAUUGCAAGAGGUGUGGGAGAAUGAGGAGGGGUUGGUGUAAGGCAGACAAGAAUGGAGAUGUGACCGACUCCAAAGCGAUCCAUAUUUGGUGGAGGAGCUUCUCAGCAUGAAGCAUGCAUGGCACAUCGGAAACACCACACCUGCAACAUGCACGCGGCGGGAUGGUGAGUGAUGGCUGGAGAGUGGCCGAGGAGACUACGAUGGGUUUGGCACGGGAGGUUGGCCUCACGGGGCUGGCUCGCAGUUUGCAGAGUGAGUGAAAUCUUCCUCCCGUAGGGCCUGCCCUCCUUCCCAAAGAAGAACUCUGCGACGUUUCCCUGAACUCUGCUUGCCCUCACCGUGAUAGUCGCUGAAGUUCCUGAACCGGCAAAACUGUCCUUGAUGCACAGCUAAGGUCACCACGGCAAAUGGAACGGGCGAAGAGACUUGUGAACUGCACCUCGAGGGACUUACAGAUUGCUCGACGUCCUUUCCUUUGGUUAUCAGGUUCUUUGAGGCCGUUGACAAUGAUAAGCCAUCUUACCAACCUCGGCGAAGCAUCUCUUCUGCAACGGCACAUUUUGGACGGGUUUAAAGCACACAUCGGCAACAUCUUUAAUCAAGCAAGAGUCCGGAACACUAUUUUGACCACCGAUGGGUCUUCAACCAAGGAUGAGACUGCAGCAGAGCACAUCCGACCAACCAACAUUCCAUUGAUUGGUAUUACUCACGGGAUGUCUACAUUUGGUGCAGAUACUCAGCUUGAUGAGGGCAAUGACAUCUGCUGCGUUUUGGAGCUCCCUAUAGUCAGAGGUGUGCAGGUGUGCAUCAAUAGGUGUGCAAUCCCUCGGAUGGAUGUUAAGUUGGAGGACACCUCUGACAGUACUGGUCGUUAGUGGACAUGAAAGAUCCCUCAGUAUCCUUCAUGAAGUGUAAGUGAGACAUCACUGGCACCCUGAACAAUUGCAAACUCCUGCUCUCACUGACUGCCUGGAAGGGAAUAACAAAUGACCCAGCAUAACCAAACCACCCAGACAUAACCAAACCACCCAGCAUAGCCAAGCCACCCAGACAUAACCAAACCACCCAACAUAACCAAACCACCCAGACAUAACCAAACUACCCAGACAUAACCAAACUACUCAGCAUAAUCAAGCCACUCAGCAUAACCAAAGCACCCAGACAUAACCAUGCCACUCAGCAUAACCAAAGCACCCACACAUCACCAAACCACCCACACAUAACCAAACCACCCAGACAUAACCAUGUCACUCAGCAUAACCAAAACACCCACACAUAACCAAACCGCCCACUUGUAACCAAACCACCCAGACAUGACCAAACCACUCAGCAUAACCAAACCACUCGGCAUAACCAAACCACCCAGCAUAACCAAACCACCCAGACAUAACCAAAGCACCCACACAUAACCAAACCACCCAGACAUAACCAUGCCACUCAGCAUAACCAAACCACCCACACAUAAUCAAACCACCCACACAUAACCAAACCACCCACACAUAGCCAAACCACCCACACAUAACCAAACCAACCAGACAUAACCAUUCCACUCAGCAUAACCAAAACACCCAGCCAUAACCAAACCACCCACACAUAACCAAACCACCC
ensembl:lincRNA